AGAGUUUGAUCCUGGCUCAGGAUGAACGCUAGCUACAGGCUUAACACAUGCAAGUCGAGGGGCAGCGAGGCGGUAGCAAUACCGCCGUCGGCGACCGGCGCACGGGUGAGUAACGCGUAUCCAACCUACCCUCCAGUAGGGCAUAGCCCGUAGAAAUGCGGAUUAAUACCCUAUGUUGUAUUUUGAGGACAUCUGAUGAAUACCAAAGGUUUACCGCUGGGGGAUGGGGAUGCGUCUGAUUAGGUAGUCGGCGGGGUAACGGCCCACCGAGCCUUCGAUCAGUAGGGGUUCUGAGAGGAAGGUCCCCCACAUUGGAACUGAGACACGGUCCAAACUCCUACGGGAGGCAGCAGUGAGGAAUAUUGGUCAAUGGGCGAUGGCCUGAACCAGCCAAGUAGCGUGCGGGACGACGGCCCUAUGGGUUGUAAACCGCUUUUGCAGGGGAAUAAAGUGUCCUACGCGUAGGAUUUUGUAUGUACCCUGAGAAUAAGGACCGGCUAAUUCCGUGCC
rnacentral:rRNA from 1 species